UGCAGCCGUCAAUGCGCUGUGCAU
rnacentral:piRNA from 1 species